rnacentral:tRNA from 7 species
GGGCGCAUAGCUCAGCUGGGAGAGCAUCUGCCUUACAAGCAGGAGGUCACAGGUUCGAUCCCUGUUGUGCCCACCA